rfam:Xiphophorus maculatus strain JP 163 A Contig48.85, whole genome shotgun sequence.
GUUUCUGUAGUGUAAUGGAUAUCACGUUUGCUUUACACGCAAAAAGUAUCUGGUUCAAGACCAGACAGAAACA